UACGUAGGUGGCAAGCGUUGUUCGGAAUUACUGGGCGUAAAGGGCGCGUAGGCGGUUCGGUAAGUCCUGUGUGAAAUCCCUCGGCUCAACUGAGGAACUGCACGGGAGACUGCCGGGCUUGAGUUCGGGAGAGGGAAGCGGAAUUCCGGGUGUAGCGGUGAAAUGCGUAGAUAUCCGGAGGAACACCGGUGGCGAAGGCGGCUUCCUGGACCGACACUGACGCUGAGGCGCGAAAGCUAGGGGAGCAAACGGG
rnacentral:rRNA from 1 species